rnacentral:rRNA from 1 species
AUACGAAGGGUGCAAGCGUUAAUCGGAAUUACUGGGCGUAAAGCGCGCGUAGGUGGUUCGUUAAGUUGGAUGUGAAAGCCCCGGGCUCAACCUGGGAACUGCAUCCAAAACUGGCGAGCUAGAGUAUAGCAGAGGGUGGUGGAAUUUCCUGUGUAGCGGUGAAAUGCGUAGAUAUAGGAAGGAACACCAGUGGCGAAGGCGACCACCUGGGCUAAUCCUGCAACUGGAGGGCGAAGGCGGGGGGAGCAAACAGGAUUAGAUCCCCUGGUAUUCCACGCCGUAAACGAUGUCGACUAGCCGUUGGGAUCCUUGAGAUCUUAGUGGCGCAGCUAACGCAUUAAGUCGACCGCCUGGGGAGUACGGCCGCAAGGUUAAAACUCAAAUGAAUUGACGGGU